rnacentral:tRNA from 1 species
UGGGUAAAAGCUUUUAGCGGCUGACUGUUAACCAGCAAAUGGCGAAAUUUUCGCUUACCCA